GGAACGUGGUUCACUGCUCCGUCCCUUGUAGAGUUUUCUACUAGAUCUCCGGAACAAGCCUCAUUCAACCAGAACAGGCUGCCUCUCACAGCCCCACACAUGUUCUCAGGGAAAAGGGUGUUUUUGAAUAAGUGAAGCUUUGGAGCUAUGCUACAACUGAGGAUUCAACAAUGUGGGAUCUAUGACCUAGUGGACUAGGCAGCAAAAGAAUCGUAAACAGGUUACACAUGUAAGAGGAAAAAAGAGAAGGAGGAAAGAAGGAAAAGCGGGAGGGAAAAAGAAGACUGAAGGAGAGGAACUUAUUCCUUGUCUUGGAAUUUUAUAGUAAUUGAUUUUCUUUUACCAUUUGUUUUUAAAAAUUAUUUCAUUUUUUCUGCUAGAACAUCAGCUAGUCAGGAUGAAAUGUGUAUCAGGUUUCUCAACUUCCUGUUCUGAUACAAGUGUUGAAUAAACACAUGCAUAUAAAUACAUAGACUUAAAAUGAGC
rnacentral:lncRNA from 1 species